rnacentral:lncRNA from 1 species
CCACUCUAUAGCAAGUACAGAGCUCCUUGAAUUCUUCAAGAUUUUCUCAGUAGUAACCAGCAUAUUGACCAAUUCGUAGAUGGUGCACUGGAUCUUAUUCAUAUAGAAGUUUACUGUAAACUACCCAUAUGAAUCAGUUAAGGACUACAAAAUCAGAUCAACCUGCAAAUCCUUAUCCAUGGACAUGCUGAGCUUCUCAAGAUUCUUGAUCAUUAUCAAACAAUGAUUAUAGACCGUUUGUCCAUCAUGCAUUUUCACCUUGAAG